rnacentral:lncRNA from 1 species
CCUAUAAGAGAGACGUUCUCCCAGAGAUUAUGUUGGGAACUACCAAAUAGCAUAAGCCAUUUUUUUGCAAAAGUUUACCAAAGGACCCUGGCUGCUUUGGUUAUAGUCAAUUGAAGGCAUAGAUGAACUAGAGACAUACCCUAUUACGACAGGGAUGUGCUGAUCAAAGUGCUCUACUUCAACUUUUGUCAUUUUGUUCUUAUUAACGAAUGUUUUUCACAGAAUGAUCAAAAUGAUAGAUGGUAGACAAACUUAGGGACCAAUUUUAUUGAUUUUAAAAUUCAGAGACCAAAAUAAGGACUUAUACCAAUCUCAAAGAUCAUUUUGACUAAGAAGCCUAUUGUAUCCAUGUUUUUAAAAGUUUGUGCAAAUAGUGGGAAAUGAUUUUUUGAUAUCAUAACUGUUAUUUUAUUUUUAUUUAAAUAUAAUAUUUUUGAAUUGAGCUUUUGAUUUUUCUUAAAUAACUAGAGUUUCUAAUAAUAAAAAAAUAAUAACUUCAAGGAAUUGACUAAAUUAGGUUCAUCAUAGAGUAAAAUACAAUGAUUAAUCGGCUAAAUUGUAAACAUCACAAACUAAAAUGACGAAACAUGUAAACCAUUUUAAUGUUUAUGCUAAACAAACGUCACCUUACAAAAUACAAUCCGGCUGCACCUUAUGUAUGUGGGGCAAUAGACAAUGCAUAAAUCUUAGUUUUGAUGGGGCUUUGUACUUACCCUUCUAAACAAGAAGCCUAUUUUAUGGCCCAUGUGGAGCCAUAAGUAGGGAUGGGUUCAAAAAACCGAAAAUCGCACUGAACCAAAGCCGAAAAAAACCUAACAAAAAAAAAA